rnacentral:rRNA from 1 species
UACGUAGGGCGCAAGCGUUGUCCGGAAUUAUUGGGCGUAAAGAGCUCGUAGGCGGUCUGUCGCGUCGGCUGUGAAAACCCGAGGCUCAACCUCGGGCCUGCAGUCGAUACGGGCAGACUAGAGUUCGGUAGGGGAGACUGGAAUUCCUGGUGUAGCGGUGAAAUGCGCAGAUAUCAGGAGGAACACCGGUGGCGAAGGCGGGUCACUGGACCGGAACUGACGCUGAGGCGCGAAAGCGUGGGGAGCAAACAGG